rnacentral:rRNA from 1 species
CGCCCAAUAGCUAGCCCAUCAAAACCAACAACAACUGACCACUAUUUAUACCCCCUAACACGCAAGCAUCAAUAUAAAUUAAACCAUUUUUCCCCCUUAGUAUAGGCGAUAGAAAAGGAACUAAAAGAGCAAUAGAGAGAGUACCGCAAGGGAACGCUGAAAGAGAAAUGAAACAACCCAGCAAAGCAUAAAAAAGCAGAGAUUUAAACUCGUACCUUUUGCAUCAUGAUUUAGCCAGCGUACCCCAAGCAAAGAGCCUUUUAGUUUGAUAACCCGAAACUACGUGAGCUACUCCAAGACAGCCUAUUAUAGGGCAAACCCGUCUCUGUGGCAAAAGAGUGGGAAGAGCUUCGAGUAGAGGUGAUAAGCCUACCGAACCUAGUUAUAGCUGGUUGCCCGAGAAUUGAAUAGAAGUUCAGCCCCCCGGAUUCUUUAUUCACCCCUGUUCCACCUUCCCUGAUGUAACAAGAAGCCGAGGGAGUUACUCAAAGGGGGUACAGCCCCUUUGAAACAAGACACAACUUUCCCAGGAGGGUAAAGAUCACAAUACUUAAGGACAAGAUAUUCUGGUAGGCCCAGAAGCAGCCAUCCCCCUAGAAAGCGUUAAAGCUCAAAUAUAUUAUACCCCCCCCCUUAUCCCGAUCAUUCAAUUUUAACCCCCUAACCCUACCGGGCCAUCCCAUGCCCACAUGGGAGCGACCAUGCUAAUAUGAGUAAUAAGAGAGCUUCCCCUCUCUCCUUGCACGUGUGUAAAUCGGAACGGACCCUCCACCGAAUCCUAACGGUCCCAAACAAAGAGGGCACUGAACUACAAACCAGACACCUAGAAAAACACCCAACAACUAACCGUUAAUCCUACACAGGCGUGCCUACAAGGAAAGACUAAAAGAAAGAGAAGGAACUCGGCAAACACACGCCUCGCCUGUUUACCAAAAACAUCGCCUCUUGUACAGAAAAAAAUAAGAGGUCCCGCCUGCCCUGUGACUGUAAGUUUAACGGCCGCGGUAUCUUGACCGUGCGAAGGUAGCGCAAUCACUUGUCCUUUAAAUGAAGACCAGUAUGAAUGGCAUAACGAGGGCUUAGCUGUCUCCUCUUUCAGGUCAAUGAAAUUGAUCUCCCCGUGCAGAAGCGGGGAUACAGACAUAAGACGAGAAGACCCUGUGGAGCUUUAGACGCAAGACAGCUCACGUUAAACACCCCCCAUUAAGGGACCAAACCCAAUGAAACCUGCUCUGAUGUCUUUGGUUGGGGCGACCGCGGGGCAAUAAAAAACCCCCACGUGGAAUGAGAGUUACCCUCCCACAACUAAGAGCUACAGCUCUAACUAACAGAAUUUCUGACCGUAAGAUCCGGCCUUGCGCCGAUCAACGAACCCAGUUACCCCAGGGAUAACAGCGCAAUCCCCUUUCAGAGUCCAUAUCGACAAGGGGGUUUACGACCUCGAUGUUGGAUCAGGACAUCCUAAUGGUGCAGCCGCUAUUAAGGGUUCGUUUGUUCAACGAUUAAAGUCCUACGUGAUCUGAGUUCAGACCGGAGUAAUCCAGGUCAGUUUCUAUCUAUGAUAUGCUCUUUUCUAGUACGAAAGGACCGAAAAGAAGGGGCCCAUACCUUAGGCACGCCUCCCCCCCACCUUCUGAAACCAACUAAAACAGACAAGAGGGCAUGCCCCCCCCGCCUAAGACUAAGGCAU